rnacentral:rRNA from 1 species
UACGUAGGUGACAAGCGUUGUCCGGAUUUACUGGGCGUAAAGAGCGCGCAGGCGGUCGAUCAAGUCGAGUGUGAAAGCCCCCGGCUCAACUGGGGAGGGUCAUUCGAUACUGAUCGACUCGAAGGCAGGAGAGGGUAGUGGAAUUCCCGGUGUAGUGGUGAAAUGCGUAGAGAUCGGGAAGAACACCGGUGGCGAAAGCGCUCUGCUGGGCCUAAACUGACACUAAGGGACGAAAGCUAGGGGAGCGAAAGGG